rnacentral:misc_RNA from 1 species
AAAGUCGUAACAAGGUUUCCGUAGGUGAACCUGCGGAAGGAUCAUUAAAGGAGUCAAUUUUUUUAUUAGUGAAGUUUGUAAUUAAAUUUGUUGGGUAUCGACCAACAGGAGACGAUAUAAUUGAGAUUAUUUUGUAGAAUAAAACAACUUUUGGCAACGGAUCUCUAGGUUCUC